rfam:Spinacia oleracea cultivar SynViroflay scaffold4533.con0003.1, whole genome shotgun sequence.
AGCCUACUAGCUGAAUUGGUAGAGCAUUGUGAAAAUGCAUAAAGAUGUGAGUUCAAAUCUCACAUAGGUUC